GACUGACACUCCUACGGGGAGGCAGCAGUGGGAUAUGUGACAAUGGGGGAACCCUGAUGCCAGCCAUGCCGCGUGUGUGAAGAAGGCCUUCGGGUUGUAAAGCACUUUCAGUAGGGAGGAAGGUAGUGUAGUUAACACCUGCAUUAUUUGACGUUACCUACAGAAGAAGCACCGGCUAACUCCGUGCCAGCAGCCGCGGUAAUACGGAGGGUGCGAGCGUUAAUCGGAAUUACUGGGCGUAAAGCGCAUGCAGGCGGCCUGUUAAGUCAGAUGUGAAAGCCCGGGGCUUAACCUCGGAAUUGCAUUUGAAACUGGCAGGCUAGAGUCUUGUAGAGGGGGGUAGAAUUUCAGGUGUAGCGGUGAAAUGCGUAGAGAUCUGAAGGAAUACCAGUGGCGAAGGCGGCCCCCUGGACAAAGACUGACGCUCAGAUGCGAAAGCGUGGGGAGCAAACAGGAUUAGAUACCCUGGUAG
rnacentral:rRNA from 1 species